rnacentral:rRNA from 1 species
GUGGGGAAUAUUGGGCAAUGGGGGCAACCCUGACCCAGCAACGCCGCGUGAAGGAAGAAGGUCUUCGGAUCGUAAACUUCUAUCCUUGGUGAAGAUAAUGACGGUAGCCGAGAAGGAAGCCCCGGCUAACUACGUGCCAGCAGCCGCGGUAAUACGUAGGGGGCAAGCGUUGUCCGGAAUGACUGGGCGUAAAGGGCGCGUAGGCGGCCUGGUAAGUCUGGAGUGAAAGUCCUGCCUUCAAGGUGGGAAUUGCUUUGGAUACUGUCGGGCUUGAGUGCAGGAGAGGUAAGUGGAAUUCCCGGUGUAGCGGUGAAAUGCGUAGAGAUCGGGAGGAACACCAGUGGCGAAGGCGACUUACUGGACUGUAACUGACGCUGAGGCGCGAAAGUGUGGGGAGCAAACAGGAUUAGAUACCCGAGUAGUCC